rnacentral:rRNA from 1 species
ACUCCUACGGGAGGCAGCAGUAGGGAAGUCUUCCACAAUGGACGAAAGUCUGAUGGAGCAACGCCGCGUGAACGAUGAAGGCCUCGGUCGUAAGUUACUGUUGUAAGGAAGAACAAGUGCCGCAGGCAAUGGCGGCACCUUGACGGUACCUUGCGAGAAAGCCACGGCUAACUACGUGCCAGCAGCCGCGGUAAUACGUAGGUGGCAAGCGUUGUCCGGAAUUAUUGGGCGUAAAGCGCGCGCAGGCGGCCUCUUAAGCCUGAUGUGAAAGCCCCGGCUCAACCGGGGGAGGGCCAUUGGAAACUGGGAGGCUUGAGUAUAGGAGAGAAGAGUGGAAUUCCACGUGUAGCGGUGAAAUGCGUAGAGAUGUGGAGGAACACCAGUGGCGAAGGCGACUCUUUGGCCUAUAACUGACGCUGAGGCGCGAAAGCGU